CUGAAGGCGUAGAGGCUGAAGGCCUGUGUGUCCAGAGGUCAGGCAUGGCAGUGGCAGUAGCAGUUUAAUGUCCACUGCCAGUAGGUGCCUCACCUCACUUCACCACAUGGCUGUGUCAGGGAGAGGGCUGUCAGUCUCCAUGCCCAUAAGUUCUCAGCUGCU
rnacentral:sRNA from 1 species